rnacentral:rRNA from 1 species
AACGAACGCUGGCGGCAUGCCUAACACAUGCAAGUCGAACGAGACCUUCGGGUCUAGUGGCGCACGGGUGCGUAACGCGUGGGUAUCUGCCCUUGGGUUCGGAAUAACAGUUGGAAACGACUGCUAAUACCGGAUGAUGACGUAAGUCCAAAGAUUUAUCGCCCAAGGAUGAGCCCGCGUAGGAUUAGCUAGUUGGUGAGGUAAAGGCUCACCAAGGCGACGAUCCUUAGCUGGUCUGAGAGGAUGAUCAGCCACACUGGGACUGAGACACGGCCCAGACUCCUACGGGAGGCAGCAGUGGGGAAUAUUGGACAAUGGGCGAAAGCCUGAUCCAGCAAUGCCGCGUGAGUGAUGAAGGCCUUAGGGUUGUAAAGCUCUUUUACCCGGGAUGAUAAUGACAGUACCGGGAGAAUAAGCUCCGGCUAACUCCGUG